AGCUUCCCAGAUAGCGCACGCGGGGACGGCGGCACACCCCUCCCACCCUGCGGCGCGUGCUCGUGGAUGUGGGUGGCGGCGAGCUAAUUAAUCGCAAUGCCCCAUAUGGGGGUUCGGAUCUCCUCACAAGUAGUAUUAUGUAUACCCGACUACCACGGAUAGAAGAAGCAGGCAGCAUUAUGCAGGCGAGGCAACAGCCGAGAAGAAGAGCCAUGGCGGUGGUGCACACGGAGUCCUUCUAGAGUGGAUGGGAAGACUCCAGCUGUGCUUGCGUUCCUAAUUCUCGGCAAGGGAUAGCCUGAAGACAGGGACUACCUUUUACUUUUUCACACAGUCAACAAAAACUUCUUGAUUGAAUUUGAUUCAUCUGUCAUUUGUGAAAUUAAAGACUUAGAAGAGAGAGGACCUGGCCAAAAAUUUCGGUUCCGCUCCAGUUGUUCAAAAGCCUCUUCCUUCCGGCUUCCAGUGUGCUGAGGCACAGAUACAUUGUAUUUAAAAGACAGCAAGAGAUAAAGAAGAGAAAGAUCCACUAGGAAGAUGUGAGCAGCAUAAUCAUGAACCACAGGCCUCAUGAGCAACGUGCAGAAGGAAGAGAGGGCAGCUCCAUUUACCCAGGGCACACCAGCUUCAACGGGAUACCAGCCUAGCAGAGAGUACUACUGGGUGAAAGGCUAUCAAAGAGUUCUCCCAACUAACAGCUACUUUCCCUAAAGUAAAAGUUGGUGCAACUGGUGAUGUGAUCCGACAUGAAGAAGAGUAGGUAUUGAAACCCUCCGCUAAAAUACAAUGUCUUCAACUAAGGAAAGAGCCUCCAGCUACAGGCACAGCAGAGCAUGUGUUCUCAGUCUUCAACAUUUUAACAACAGCAUCAGCCUUGGGCCAGAAGGGAACUGCAGCUCCCUAAUCACAGAACCAGAAAGCCGGGAUGACUCUUCCUGAGGGAAGGCAGAAGAAAGCAGCUAGCUUCUCUAAUGCUCAUCUGACGGAGUUUCUGUGACUGGAGCAAGCUCAGGGUUCGAGGAAGCUUGUCACCAAAAUUGGUGUCAUUAAAGAAGGUGGCAUGUCUAAGAGCAUGCCCGGCCCCUAGCUAGAGCUUUUAAUCCAAGCACCUCGGAAGCUUCUGGAGUACAGCCAUUUAAAGUGACUUGUCACACCGAAAGGACGGCUUUCUUAAAUAAUCUCUAUAGUUUAAUUUCUGUCAAUGAAGUAGGUUAGAGAUAACAAAAAUGUAGAUAGAAAGAUGAUCCCUGAGCAAUCUUAAUACUAUAAUUUACAACUAUGCCUUACAGUUUCAUCUGCUUCCAUUGUUCUUACUCCCCUAACUUUGUAAAACUUUCAUGCCCUCGGGGGCUGGUGAGAUGGCUCAGCGGUUAAGAGCACUGACUGCUCUUCCAAAGGUCCCGAGUUCGAAUCCCAGCAACCACAUGGUGGCUCACAACCAUCCAUAAUGAGAUCUGACGCCCUCUUCUAGUGUGUCUGAAGACAACUACAGUGUACUUACAUAUAAUAAAUAAAUCUUUAAAAAAAAAAAAAACUUUCAUGCCCUCUAGAUUGAUUGGUACAGAUGGCAAAGAGAAAGUGAAGCUUUGGGGGGUGGGUGUGGGGAGGACUUUUAACAAAUAUUUCAUUUUUAAAGUGGAUACAGAAGAGGCUAUGACAAGAAAACACAGAGGCUCGAUUCUUCAAAAAUGAGAAAAAUGAAAAUGUAUACCUGGGUGGAGGGUAGAGAGAAAAGGAGGGAGGAAGGGAAGGGAAAAGAGAGAAGGAAAGAAAGCCAGCUAGCUACAAGCAGCCUAGAAGCCCUGGAGAGAAACAAAAUCACCACAAAAACAAUUUAUCUCAGUGGAGCCUUGCUUGUCCCUUGUCCCACCACCUGCCUGUUUUGUGACAGCCUCAGCACCAAUUGCUCCAUUUCAGUAACAAGACUUUGAUUUCAGAGACUCAUUAGAAUCCUGAGUCCCUGCUUAACAGGACAACUGAAAAAUCUACGUUUUUAACUCUUAACCUUUUCGUUUUUCUAUUCAAAACUUGGUAAACUGCUAAACUUACAUGUUCAGGGGGCUGUGAGUGUUAAAUAAAAUAUUCAAGUCACA
rnacentral:lncRNA from 1 species